rnacentral:rRNA from 1 species
CCCUUAGAUGUUCUGGGCCGCACGCGCGCUACACUGAUGCAUUCAACGAGCCUAUCCUUGACCGACAGGUCCGGGUAAUCUUUGAAUCUGCAUCGUGACGGGGAUAGAUUAUUGCAAUUAUUAAUCUUCAACGAGGAAUGCCUAGUAGGCGCAAGUCAUCAGCUUGCGUCGAUUACGUCCCUGCCCUUUGUACACACCGCCCGUCGCUCCUACCGAUUGAGUGGUCCGGUGAGGCUUUGGGAUCUGAGCGGAAAGAGUGUUUCGCUGUUUCUGCUCGGAAAACUCAGUCGAACCUCAUCAUUUAGAGGAAGGAGAAGUCGUAACA